rnacentral:rRNA from 2 species
AAAUUUUCAACGACGGAUAUCUAGGUUCCCAUAACGAUGAAGAACGCAGCGAAAUGCGAUAGGCAAUGCGAAUUGCAGAAUACCGCGAGUCAUCAGAUCUUUGAACGCAAAUGGCGCCCAGGGGCUAUCCUCUGGGCAUGUUUGUUUCAGUGUG